UGCGCAGGCGGGCGACUAAGUCAGAGGUGAAAUCCCACAGCUUAACUGUGGAACUGCCUUUGAUACUGGUUGUCUUGAGUUAUAGUGAAGUAGAUAGAAUAUGUAGUGUAGCGGUGAAAUGCUUAGAUAUUACAUAGAAUACCGAUUGCGAAGGCAGUCUACUAACUAUAUACUGACGCUAAUGGACGAAAGCGUGGGGAGCGAACAGGAUUAGAUACCCUGGUAGUCC
rnacentral:rRNA from 1 species